AGAGAUGAAAUUUAGACAGUUUGUGCUGAGCUCUCAUUGCGGUGACACCGCACGUGCAUGCAUAAACCUAACGUUUGGUGCGCGCUUAGUGAAUAUGAGUUUCUAGUGAUGUUUUCAAUUAACUUAAAAGUGUGAGUGAGAAAGAGUGAGUGAAUGAAGGUUGUGCAGAUGAUUGAUGGAUUAUAGGGGGAGUUAAAUGAAAGUUUGAUUUGAGAAUGAUGAGGAUUGUGUAUGAACAGCCGUUCUCCUCCGAAUACUUGGAAAUCAAGCCGGACAGACUAUCAGGUA